UGCCAGCAGCCGCGGUAACACGGGGGGCGCAAGCGUUAUUCGGAAUUAUUGGGCGUAAAGGGCGCGCAGGCGGUCUCGUCCGUCAGGUGUGAAAGCCCGGGGCUCAACCCCGGAAGUGCAUUGGAAACUGGCGAACUUGAGUACGGGAGAGGAAAGUGGAAUUCCGAGUGUAGGGGUGAAAUCCGUAGAUAUUCGGAGGAACACCAGUGGCGAAGGCGGCUUUCUGGACAGAUAUUGACGCUGAGGCGCGAAGGCGUGGGUAGCGAACGGGAUUAGAUA
rnacentral:rRNA from 1 species